rnacentral:rRNA from 1 species
AGCGAUCAGUAGCUGGUCUGAGAGGACGAUCAGCCACACUGAGACUGAGACACGGCCCAGACUCCUACGGGAGGCAGCAGUGGGGAAUUUUCCGCAAUGGGCGAAAGCCUGACGGAGCAAGACCGCGUGAGGGAGGAAGGCUCUUGGGUUGUAAACCUCUUUUCUCAGGGAAGAAGCUCUGACGGUACCUGAGGAAUCAGCCUCGGCUAACUCCGUGCCAGCAGCCGCGGUAAUACGGGAGGAAGGCAAGCGUUAUCCGGAAUUAUUGGACGUAAAGCGUCCGCAGGGCCGAUUCAAUCUGCUGCCAAGCACCGGGCUUAACCCCGUUAAGGCAGCGGAACCUGAUAGCUAGACUCCUUAGGGUAGAGGGAUCCCCGGGUAGCGGUAAAUGCGUAGGAUCGGGAGAACUCCGUGGCGAAGCGCCCUUACUGGACGCAACCGACACUCAGGGACGAAAGCUAGGGGAGCGAAUGGGAUUAGAUACCCCAGUAGUCCUAGCUGUAACGAUGGAUACUAGGUGUAGCUUGUAUCGACCCCGAGUGUGCCGAAGCUAACGCGUUAAGUAUCCCGCCUGGGGAGGUACGCCACGCAAGUGGUGAAACUCCAAAGGAAUUGACGGGGGGCCGGCACAACCGGUGGAGUAUGUGGUUUAAUUCGAUGCAACGCGAAGAACCUUACCAGGGCUUGACAUGUCCGGAAUCCCGGUGAAAGCUGGGAGUGCCUUCCGGGAGCCGGGACACAAGGUGGUGCAUGGCUGUCGUCAGCUCGUGUCGUGAGAUGUUGGGUUAAGUCCCGCAACGAGCGCAACCCUCGUCUUUAGUUGCCAGCAUUAAGUUGGGCACUCUAGAGAGACUGCCGGUGACAAACCGGAGGAAGGUGGGGAUGACGUCAAGUCAGCAUGCCCCUUACGCUCUGGGCGACACACGUACUACAAUGGUCGGGACAGAGGGCAGCGAACCUGCGAAGGCAAGCUA